AACGAACGCUGGCGGCAUGCCUAACACAUGCAAGUCGAACGAGACCUUCGGGUCUAGUGGCGCACGGGUGCGUAACGCGUGGGAACCUGCCCUUAGGUUCGGAAUAACUCCCCGAAAGGGGUGCUAAUACCGGAUAAUGUCUUCGGACCAAAGAUUUAUCGCCUUUGGAUGGGCCCGCGUUGGAUUAGCUAGUUGGUAGGGUAAAAGCCUACCAAGGCGACGAUCCAUAGCUGGUCUGAGAGGAUGAUAAGCCACACUGGGACUGAGACACGGCCCAGACUCGUACGGGAGGCAGCAGUGGGGAAUAUUGGAGAAUGGGCGAAAGCCUGAUACAGCAAUGCCGCGUGAGUGAUGAAGGCCUUAGGGUUGUAAAGCUCUUUUACCCGGGAUGAUAAUGACAGUACCGGGAGAAUAAGCUCCGGCUAACUCCGUG
rnacentral:rRNA from 1 species